GUGGGGAAUAUUGGACAAUGGGCGAAAGCCUGAUCCAGCCAUGCCGCGUGUGUGAAGAAGGUCUUCGGAUUGUAAAGCACUUUAAGUUGGGAGGAAGGGCAGUAAGUUAAUACCUUGCUGUUUUGACGUUACCGACAGAAUAAGCACCGGCUAACUUCGUGCCAGCAGCCGCGGUAAUACGAAGGGUGCAAGCGUUAAUCGGAAUUACUGGGCGUCAAGCGCGCGUAGGUGGUUUUGUAAGUUGGAGGUGAAAUCCCCGGGCUCAACCUGGGAACUGCCUCCAAAACUGCAUGACUAGAGUACGGUAGAGGGUAGUGGAAUUUCCUGUGUAGCGGUGAAAUGCGUAGAUAUAGGAAGGAACACCAGUGGCGAAGGCGACUACCUGGACUGAUACUGACACUGAGGUGCGAAAGCGUGGGGAGCAAACAGGAUUAGAUACCCCAGUAGUCC
rnacentral:rRNA from 1 species